AUCACUUCUCGGCCUUUUGGCUAAGAUCAAAUGUAGCAUAUGUUUUUCUCAGUUUAAAGUCUCUGUUUGUGGGAAGGCUACCUAGAGGCAGAAUCCAAACCCCCAAAAGGCAAACACUGUUAAGGGUGGGUGCACUGGCUUCAGAGGCAGAGAAACCCAA
ensembl:snRNA U2 U2 spliceosomal RNA